GGUAUUGGCCGGAAAUCGAACCCAGGUCACCCGCGUGGCAGGCAACAAUUCUACCACUGAACCACCGAUGA